GUCAUGAGAUCCAGCCCCAUGUUGGGCUCCAUGCUCAGCGCAGAGUCUGCUUGAGAUUCCCUCCCCCUCUGCUCCUCCCCUUGCUCGUGCUUGCUCACUCUCUCUUUCUCAAAAAAUAAAUAAGCAAGCAAAUAAAUAAAAUAUUAAAAAAAAAAAUAUCAGUGCUCCAUGUCCCCACUGCCUGCCCUCCUCUAGGAGUUAGGUAAGUUACCUGAAAUGUCCCUGGUUCUCCCCCUAUCAGAUCAGAGCUGUCCCUGUGGCUUAGUGAUGGCCCUCCUGCUCCAGGAUCCUGUGGCAGUGAGAGUCCCAGGUUCAUCUGCAGCCCUAUUGCUUGUCUCUUAAUCUGGCCAGUGGGAAACAGCCUAUCCAAUUCCCAUUGGUGACCCAGAGAAAAUUGUAGGCAUUCAGUAAUAUUUCUGUGCUUCAUAUCAAGGUCUAGUUCUUUCCAAAGGACAUCGAUGGGACUGGGCAAGAGAGAGAUGGCCCUAUACCAAGAGAUAAGUAUUGUCUGGGAGAAACCACUGUCCCCUUUAGACCUUAGGUUCCUGUUGCUCAGGAUUCCCAUUUUAGGCCUGGUUCCUAUAUAAGACUUUUUUUUUUUUUUCCAAGGAGAUGUUAUGUUGAUCCUCUCUUGAGGAUCUCAGACUACUUCGGUACAUGUCUGUCAGCUCAGAGAUGGUGUUUAUUCAUUUGAAGGCAAUCUCUGCAAACAUGUGUGUUCAGAAUCACCAGGGUAGUGUUCUCCAGUGAUGUGGUCAGAAAGGCUCUGUUCGAAUGCCGGGCCUACCACGGGAGCAUGAGGGACGCCUCAAAUUCCAUUUGGAGGCAUCUUUGAGCUCGCCGAGUAGACACCAUGAGCAAAGCUCACCCUCCCAAGUUGAAAAAAUUUAUGGACAAGAAAUUAUCAUUGAAAUUAAAUGGUGGCAGACAUGUCCAAGGAAUAUUGCGGGGGUUCCAUCCGUUUAUGAAUCUUGUGAUAGAUGAAUGUGUGGAGAUGGCAACUAGUGGGCCACAGAACAAUACGAGGAAAUAGUAUCAUCAUGUUAGAAGCCUUGGAACAAGUAUAAACAAUGGGUGUGUUCAUCAGAAGAAAUCAACUCCUUCCACAUGUCCCCUCUCCAUAGUACCUGUUUUACUACAAUAUAAAAAUCAGGUCGUGUGCAUUUUCAUAUUGAAUUUUUUGUUAAAUAAACUUUUAUAAUAGUCCAAACAAGAAAAGAAAAGGAAAGAAAGGCUCUGUUCACUCUCACUAGCUCUGAGAGGUGCCCAAAGUUGGUUGGAUAUGGUUUCUCUACUUAGGUAGCCUUGCUUGCUGCCGCUGUGUUCUGCACCCCUCCAAGGGUGAGGCCCAGGUUGAAAGUAGAUUGUUCUCAUCCAGCAGAAGUGUGCUUGGAUGCUGGCCACACAUCCCCAUCCCCUCCUGCAGAAGCAGCUCAGGGCAUUCCUUGUUUAACUGUCAUAUGGGCCACUUAAGCAAUGCUUUUCUGAGAGGCAGUGUGGGAGAUAUUGUCCUGAUAAAUUGUGAAAUGCCUCUUUGUAAGCCAUCCUGUUCUUUUUUUUUUUUUUUAAGAUUUUAUUCAUUUAUUUGAGAGAGUGAGAGAGAGAGAGCACAUGAGA